GAUGAACGCUGGCGGCGUGCCUAACACAUUCAAGUCGAACGGUGACGGGGACUUCGGUCCCCUGGUCAGUGGCGGACGGGUGAGUAACGCGUGAGCAACCUUCCUUUCAGGGGGGGAUAACACAGGGAAACUUGUGCUAAUACCGCAUAACACAUUUUAGGGUCAUCUCGUUGAUGUCAAAGAUUUAUUGCUGAAAGAUGGGCUCGCGUCCGAUUAGAUAGUUGGUGAGGUAACGGCUCACCAAGUCUACGAUCGGUAGCCGGACAGAGAGGUUGAACGGCCACAUUGGAACUGAGAUACGGUCCAGACUCCUACGGGAGGCAGCAGUGGGGAAUAUUGGACAAUGGGCGCAAGCCUGAUCCAGCCAUGCCGCGUGAGUGAUGAAGGCCUUAGGGUUGUAAAGCUCUUUUAUCCGGGACGAUAAUGACGGUACCGGAGGAAUAAGCCCCGGCUAACUUCGUGCCAGCCGCCGCCGUAAGAC
rnacentral:rRNA from 1 species